rnacentral:lncRNA from 10 species
CUAUUGUCAGAAGGCCUGUAAAGGAGGAGUUGUAUGCUGGCUCAGCCUGAGAGUUCGUGGAGGUCCCAGGACCUGGAGGAAGGAGAUAAACUUAACCAAAGUUGAGCUAAAACACAUUUUGUUCCAGCUAAUUAGGGAGAGACCAGCAGUUCAGCUAAUUAUGAGGCAAAGAAUGGGAAUUUGGAAACUCUGUUGGCCUUUGCCAUAGGAAAACAAGGAGAGCAUCUGUGAGUCCUAGGAGUCUAGCUCUGUCAUCCAGGCUGGAGUGUACUGGUGUGAUCUCGGCUCACUGCAACAUCCUCCUCCCGGGUUCAAGAGAUUCUCCUGCUUCAGCCUCCCAAGUAGCUGGGACUACUGGCGCAUGCCACCACGACUGGCUAAUUUUUGUAUUUUUUAGUAGAGAUGGGGUUUCACCAUCUUGGCCAGGCUGGUCUCGAACUCCUGACCUCAGGUGAUCCACCCGUCUCGGCCUCCUAAAGUGCUGGCAUUACAGGCGUGAGCCACCGUGCCCAGCCACCAGCAGUAAAUUUUUGAGGAACUUAAACUACCAGCCUUAUCUUGGUAGAUACCCCAUCGUCUCAAUCUUGAUGAGCCACAGGCAUUUUGUUGUUACUGUUAUUUGAAUUUUUAUAAUCCAAGCCAUUAAAGAGACAAGUCUGGUCAGCUUAUUAUAUGGUAUCAACAAUUGGCUCAAAUGGGAAGAGCAGUUGUUGUAGACUGAAUUGUGUCUCCCCCAAAUCCAUAUGUUGAAACUCUAACACCCAAUAUGACUGGAUUUGGAGAUCGUUCCUUUAAAGAGAUGAUUAAAGUUAAAUAGGGUCAUAAGGAUGGGUUCUUAAUCUGAUAGGACUAGUGUCCUUAUAAUAAGAGGAAGAAACAUCAGGGAUGGACACACACACAGAGAAAAGAUCACAUGAGGACACAGCAAGAAGGAAACCAUCUGCAAGUCAGAAGGAGGCCUCAGGAGGAACCAAUCCUGCUGUCAUUUUGGACAGCUGAUCUUGGACUUUCAGCUUCCAGAACUGUGAGAAAAUAAAUUUAUCUUGCUCCAGAAACACAGACUGUAGUAUUUUGUUAAUGCAACUCGAACAGACUAAUAUGGCAGUCAAGGAAAAAAGCUGCGAUUGUAUAUUAUUGAUUGCAAUUAUUAAUUGUGAAAUUAUCACAAUUAAAUGCGUAUGAAAUUUACCUCUGAAUGAUUAAUCGCAACUAGAUAA